rnacentral:rRNA from 1 species
CCUACGGGGGGCAGCAGUGGGGAAUAUUGCACAAUGGGGGAAACCCUGAUGCAGCGACGCCGCGUGAGUGAAGAAGUAAUUCGUUACGUAAAGCUCUAUCAGCAGGGAAGAAACACUGACCUUACGGUCAGCAGACGGUACCUGAGUAAGAAGCCCCGGCUAACUACGUGCCAGCAGCCGCGGUAAUACGUAGGGGGCAAGCGUUAUCCGGAUUUACUGGGUGUAAAGGGGGCGUAGACGGUGCGCCAAGGCUGGAGUGAAAUGCCGCAGCUUAACUGCGGAACUGCUUUGGAAACUGGCGAACUAGAGUGCGGGAGGGGUAAGCGGAAUUCCUAGUGUAGCGGUGAAAUGCGUAGAUAUUAGGAGGAACACCGGUGGCGAAGGCGGCUUACUGGACCGUAACUGACGUUGAGGCUCGAAAGCGUGGGGAGCAAACAGGAUUAGAUACCCCGGUAGUC